GAUGAACGCUGGCGGCGUGCCUAAUACAUGCAAGUCGAGCGAACGGACGAGAAGCGUGCUUCUCUGAUGGUAGCGGCGGACGGGCGAGUAACACGUGGAUAACCUACCUAUAAGACUGGGAUAACUUCGGGAAACCGGAGCUAAUACCGGAUAAUAGUUUGAACCGCAUGGUUCAAAAGUGAAAGACGGGCUUGCUGUCACUUAGAGAUGGAUCCGCGAUGCAUGAGCGAGUUGGUAAGGUAACGGCUUACCAAGGCAACGCUGCAUAGCCGACCUGAGAGGGUGAUCGGCCACACUGGACCUGAGACGCGGUCCAGACUCCUACGGGAGGCAGCAGUAGGGAAUCUUCCGCAAUGGGCGAGAGCCUGACGGAGCACCGCCGCGUGGCGUAUGAAGGUCUUCGGAUCGUAAAACUCUGUUAUUAGGGAAGAACAUAUGUGUACGUAACUGUGCACAUCUUGACGGUACCUAAUCAGAAAGCCACGGCUAACUCCGUG
rnacentral:rRNA from 1 species